GACGAACGCUGGCGGCGUGCUUAACACAUGCAAGUCGAACGGAAAGGCCCGGCGUUUGUUGGUUGGUCGUUUGCCGCGGAGGGGAGAGAAACGUGUGUAUACUGCACUUAUCUUUCUGGUAUCACCACGGGACUGGGGCGAAUACCGGAGAGAAUAUCCUGCAGCGUGGGGUGGGUUGGUAAAUGUCGGCGUUGGUGGAUGGUAUCGCGGCUUAUGAGCUUGUUGGUGGGGUAGGGGCGUACAAAGCUUUCGAAGGGUAGCCGGCCUUGGAGCGGGACCGGCCACAUUGGGCCUGCGAUACGGCCCAGACUCCUACGGGAGGCAGCAGUGGGGAAUAUUGCACAAUGGGCGGACGUCUGAUGCAGCAACGCCGCGUGCGGGAUGACGGCCUUCGGGUUGUAAACCGCUUUCGCCUGUGACGAAGCGUGAGUGACGGUAAUGGGUAAAGAAGCACCGGCUAACUACGUG
rnacentral:rRNA from 1 species